AUCUGGGCGGCGGAAUUCAGGACGGCUGGCGGGUCUCGCGCUCGUUCGGCCGUUUGAUAUUUCCGUCGCCGUGUCAGACGUCGCGACCUGUUCGUCGUCGGUCCUUGCUCGGAGGAAUUGCGAUCGAGUUCGUUGCGGGCGCGUUUCGGCGUGUCUCGCGGCGAAGACGCGACUCUCUGGCUGACGACGGACAGUAAGCAACGGUGUCCGGCGCCGUGUCUCGCACUCGGCGUCGGUGCCGGUCAGCGACGAUUUCUUCGGGCCUCUUUCCGACCCGUCUUGAAACACGGACCAAGGAGUCUAACAUGCGCGCGAGUCGCGGGGUUUCGAGCGUGCCACGGUGCGCUCGUUACUUCCGAAACCCGUACGUUGAAGGCGUAAUGAAAGUGAACAGGGAAGAUGGCGUUCCGAGUCCACGUACCGUGAUCGAGUAUCGCGGCCGGACGUCCGCACUCCCGGGGCGUCUCAAUGGCUCGCCACGGAUGCGGACGAUCGUCUCUCGGGGCGGUCGUCGGUCUGUGGCGGUCCGA
rnacentral:rRNA from 1 species